GAUGAACGCUGGCGGCGUGCCUAAUACAUGCAAGUCGAGCGAACGGACGAGAAGCUUGCUUCUCUGAUGUUAGCGGCGGACGGGUGAGUAACACGUGGAUAACCUACCUAUAAGACUGGGAUAACUUCGGGAAACCGGAGCUAAUACCGGAUAAUAUUUUGAACCGCAUGGUUCAAAAGUGAAAGACGGUCUUGCUGGCACUUAUAGAUGGAUCCGCGCUGCAUUAGCUAGUUGGUAAGGUAACGGCUUACCAAGGCAACGAUGCAUAGCCGACCUGAGAGGGUGAUAGGCCACACGGGAAGUGAGACACGGUCCAGACUACUACGGGAGGCAGCAGUAGGGAAUCUGACGCAAUGGGCGAAAGCCUGACGGAGCAACGCCGCGUGAGUGAUGAAGGUCUUCGGAUCGUAAAAAUCUGUUAUUAGGGAAGAACAUAUGUGUAAGUAACUGUGCAGAUCUUGACGGUACCUAAUCAGAAAGCCACGGCUAACUACGUG
rnacentral:rRNA from 1 species